rnacentral:rRNA from 1 species
AUUGAACGCUGGCGGCAGGCUUAACACAUGCAAGUCGAGCGGAGAUGAGGUGCUUGCACCUUAUCUUAGCGGCGGACGGGUGAGUAAUGCUUAGGAAUCUGCCUAUUAGUGGGGGACAACAUUCCGAAAGGAAUGCUAAUACCGCAUACGCCCUACGGGGGAAAGCAGGGGAUCUUCGGACCUUGCGCUAAUAGAUGAGCCUAAGUCGGAUUAGCGAGUUGGUGGGGUAGAGGCCUACCAAGGCGACGAUCUGUAGCGGGUCUGAGAGGAUGAUCCGCCACACUGGGACUGAGACACGGCCCAGACUCCUACGGGAGGCAGCAGUGGGGAAUAUUGGACAAUGGGCGGAAGCCUGAUCCAGCCAUGCCGCGUGUGUGAAGAAGGCCUUUUGGUUGUAAAGCACUUUAAGCGAGGAGGAGGCUACCUGGAUUAAUACUCUAGGAUAGUGGACGUUACUCGCAGAAUAAGCACCGGCUAACUCUGUGCCAGCCGCCGCGGUAAGAC